rnacentral:lncRNA from 1 species
GCGGCCGCCAGGUUGCAGGCAGGCUGGAGCUCCUGGGUGCCACAGGGGACCUGCACACACAGGCUGAGGAAUGGUGUAGGGUCUACCACCCGGAAGCAGUCCCUCAAGCUGGAGUGGGGGCCCUCGAAGAAGGCCCAGCAGGCGGGGAGCUGUCCCGGGCAGGCCUGCUCCUGCUGAGGCUUCUCAGUGGCCCUGCAGUCACCACCCACCUGCCAGGCCAGGCUGAGCUCCUCCAGGCUGCGGGCCAUAGAGCCAUCCGGCAACAUCAGCUCAUUGCCUGCUUCAUUGUCAUUGGUGCCCAGAAGGCCAGCGGAUAUGCCGUGCUGCCAGAGGCCCAGAGUCAGGCUGCAGAGGCCGGUGGGCACGUCACAGGAGACAGACACCCCGUCCUCGCUGGCCAGCUCAAUCCUGGAGACGUCCUUCCUUGUCGUGGCAGGAUGCAGCUUGAGGUCCGGACAACUGUCCCCCGGCAGGGAGGAG